UGGCGGGAUGGUGUAGCGGCAACAUGCCGGCCUCAUGAGCCGGAGCUGCGGGUUCGAAUCCCGCUCCCGCAA
rnacentral:tRNA from 1 species